GACGAACGCUGGCGGCGUGCUUAACACAUGCAAGUCGAGCGAUGAAGCACCUUCGGGUGUGGAUUAGCGGCGGACGGGUGAGUAACACGUGGGUAACCUGCCCAUAAGACUGGGAUAACUCCGGGAAACCGGGGCUAAUACCGGAUAACAUUUUGAACCGCAUGGUUCGAAAUUGAAAGGCGGCUUCGGCUGUCACUUAUGGAUGGACCCGCGUCGCAUUAGCUAGUUGGUGAGGUAACGGCUCACCAAGGCAACGAUGCGUAGCCGACCUGAGAGGGUGAUCGGCCACACUGGGACUGAGACACGGCCCAGACUCCUACGGGAGGCAGCAGUAGGGAAUCUUCCGCAAUGGACGGAAGUCUGACGGAGCAACGCCGCGUGAGUGAUGAAGGCUUUCGGGUCGUAAAACUCUGUUGUUAGGGAAGAACAAGUGCUAGUUGAAUAAGCUGGCACCUUGACGGUACCUAACCAGAAAGCCACGGCUAACUACGUGCCAGCCGCCGCGGUAA
rnacentral:rRNA from 1 species